rnacentral:lncRNA from 1 species
AGCCCAGUGUUACGUAGACGGCCUUGUUUUUCGCCCAAUGGGCAAAAGACGUCUCGUGAGGGAAGAUGUACUCGUAUCCCUCUUAAACACAUGCACACAUCAAAAUUGCCCGAUGUGAAACUAUUAAGGGAGGUCUUCCCACGGCCUGCCCACAACACAUGCAUUGGCCCCUUGUGCUGUGAAGGAGUAGAAAAUGUUUGGUGAAAUGUUUCAUAGAAAGACUGCAAAUCUUUCAUCCCCAAACUACCGUCAAGUAUCCACAACUUUGGGAAGCUGGCAGCACGUCUACAACAUUAGAUGAUACCCAAGUUGUUUCUGGUCAUCUCUGCUAAGAAUUCACACCAAGGCCUUGGAUAGGACAUGUAUUAAGUUGAUUCUGAUGAUUGGAACCUAAUUAAGGGGC